rnacentral:ncRNA from 2 species
ACGCAAUAAGGCGAUGGAGUUCGCCUAAACCGCUCGUUUGAGCUGAUGACUCCUACCAGACU